AUACGGAGGGCGCGAGCGUUAUCCGGAUUCAUUGGGUUUAAAGGGUGCGCAGGCGGCCGUGCAAGUCAGCGGUGAAAGCCCGGGGCUCAACCCCGGAAGUGCCGUUGAUACUGCAUGGCUGGAAUGCGGUCGAGGCGGGCGGGAAGUGGCGUGGAGCGGGGGAAUGCGUAGAUAUGUCACAGAACGCCGAUAGCGGGGGCAGCGGGCCAGGCCUGCAUUGACGCUCGGGCACGAAAGUGUGGGGAUCGAACAGUAUUAGAUACCCUGGUAGUCCACGCCGUAACCGAUGGGCGCUCGUCGUCGGCGGCAGACAGUCGGCGGCCAAGCGAAAGCGAUAAGCGCCCCACCUGGGGAGUACGGUCGCAAGGCUGAAACUCAAAUGAAUUGACGGGG
rnacentral:rRNA from 1 species